AACGAACGCUGGCGGCAGGCUUAACACAUGCAAGUCGAGCGCCCCGCAAGGGGAGCGGCAGACGGGUGAGUAACGCGUGGGAACGUACCCUUUUCUACGGAAUAACCCAGGGAAACUUGGACUAAUACCGUAUGAGCCCUACGGGGGAAAGAUUUAUCGGGAAAGGAACGGCCCGCGUUGGAUUAGCUAGUUGGUGGGGUAACGGCCUACCAAGGCGACGAUCCAUAGCUGGUCUGAGAGGAUGAUCAGCCACAUUGGGACUGAGACACGGCCCAA
rnacentral:rRNA from 1 species